rnacentral:rRNA from 1 species
GACGAACGCUGGCGGCGUGCUUAACACAUGCAAGUAGAACGAUGAAGCUAGAGCUUGCUCUGGUGAAUUAGUGGCGAACGGGUGAGUAACACGUGAGUAACCUGCCCCGAACUCUGGGAUAACUGCUGGAAACGGUAGCUAAUACUGGAUACGACCUACGAAGGCAUCUUCUGUAGGUGGAAAGAAUUUCGGUUCGGGAUGGACUCGCGGCCUAUCAGCUUGUUGGUGAGGUAAUGGCUCACCAAGGCGACGACGGGUAGCCGGCCUGAGAGGGUGACCGGCCACACUGGGACUGAGACACGGCCCAGACUCCUACGGGAGGCAGCAGUGGGGAAUAUUGCACAAUGGGCGCAAGCCUGAUGCAGCAACGCCGCGUGAGGGAUGACGGCCUUCGGGUUGUAAACCUCUUUUAGUAGGGAAGAAGCGAAAGUGACGGUACCUGCAGAAAAAGCACCGGCUAACUACAUGCCAGCAGCCGCCGUAA